rnacentral:rRNA from 1 species
UACAGAGGGUGCAAGCGUUAAUUCGGAAUUACUGGGCGUAAAGCGUGCGCAGGCGGUUAUAUAAGUCAGAUGUGAAAUCCCCGGGCUUAACCUGGGAACUGCAUUUGAGACUGUAUGGCUAGAGUGUGUCAGAGGGGGGUAGAAUUCCACGUGUAGCAGUGAAAUGCGUAGAUAUGUGGAGGAAUACCGAUGGCGAAGGCAGCCCCCUGGGAUAACACUGACGCUCAUGCACGAAAGCGUGGGGAGCAAACAGG